UGAAAGGGUUUAUAUAUAGCUUUCAUUGGC
rnacentral:piRNA from 1 species